rnacentral:tRNA from 1 species
UAAGGGAGACCAUACCCCUCAAAUAUUGAAAGCAAUUUGCAACUAAAUAUUGAGUUGGUUGACCUAAGGUCGGUCGCAAUCUCUUGUUUUUAGCUUUCAAACUAUAUUUGGUUCGGUUCUAUUAUCUAUAUAUAUAGAUGUACAGAUAAUAGAAUUUCGGAGAUUAACUACGGGCUAUUAGCUCAGGUGGUUAGAGCGCACCCCUGAUAAGGGUGAGGUCCCUGGUUCGAGUCCAGGAUGGCCCAUUGUUCAUUGUGUGUGAAAUCCAAAAAACACAAAACAAUAGUCUCUACCACAAAAUUAGAUACCACAAAAUUGGAAGAAUUCAGCACCUGAAGUUUUUUUAGUUAAAAAACUUGGAAUGCUGGGGUUGAUUCCAGCCAGAACCUUGAAAACUGCAUAGAAACGCGAAUUAGCAGGCAGACAUACAGACAUUAAUUAUUUUAAUGAAUGUAGUUUACAGACAAUCGAUUAGUUUUUUUUGUUUUGGAAAAAAGAUU